rnacentral:rRNA from 1 species
AGUGAACGCUGGCGGUGGGCCUAACACAUGCAAGUCGAACGGCAGCACAGUAAGAGCUUGCUCUUACGGGUGGCGAGUGGCGGACGGGUGAGGAAUACAUCGGAAUCUACUUUUUCGUGGGGGAUAACGAAGGGAAACUUACGCUAAUACCGCAUACGACCUACGGGUGAAAGCAGGGGAUCUUCUGACCUUGCGCGAUUGAAUGAGCCGAUGUCGGAUUAGCUAGUUGGCGGGGUAAAGGCCCACCAAGGCGCCGAUCCGUAGCUGGUGUGAGAGGAUGGUCGGCCACAUGGGAGCUGAGACACGGUCCAGAAGCCUACGAGAGGCAGCAGUGGGGAAUAUUGGGCAAUGGGCGGAAGCAUGAUCCAGCCAUACCGCGUCGGUGAAGAAGGCGUUCGGGGUGUAAAGACCUUUUGUUGGGAGAGAAAAGCAGCAGGUUAAUACCCAGCUGUUCCGACGGUACCCAAAGAAUAAGCACCGGCUAACUACGUG